rnacentral:rRNA from 1 species
UACGUAGGCAGCAAGCGUUGUUCGGAGCUACUGGGCGUAAAGGGUGCGUAGGCGGUCCUAUAAGUAUGGUGUGAAAUCUCCCGGCUUAACUGGGAGGGUGCGCUAUAGACUGUGGGACUAGAGUGUGGGAGAGGAAAGUGGAAUUCCUGGUGUAGCGGUGAAAUGCGUAGAUAUCAGGAGGAACACCGGUGGUGUAAACGGCUUUCUGGACCAUAACUGACGCUGAGGCACGAAAGCGUGGGUAGCAAACAGG